rnacentral:lncRNA from 7 species
AUGAAUUUUAACGUCUGAGAAGUACAUGGACUGUAUGUGAAGGCAGGGAACCUGCUCUGCUGCUGUCAUCAUCGACCUCUGAUAUCACUUGGAGCAAGACAACCAACGAUAGCAGUGAUCUGACUCUGGAGUGGUAAGAAAGGUAAACUUGACUUGUGUUACUGUGUCCAUCGUUUGGGUACCCUGGAGGAAUCACUCCAGCUCUGUUCAACACCUGUGGCUGCAUAUGGACUUCUAAUUAGAAGAUGAAAAAAGAAGAGCAGCAUCAAGGGAAUCAAUCUCUUGGGACGUCCUGUGGUCUGAAUGUACAUCUUGUAUUGCUGAGAUAGGAGCUGGGGAUGCGGUGUGUAAAGAUGUGAAUUUUACAAGGAAAAAGAAUCAUCCAGGAGACCUCUGGGAAAUCACAGAAUCACUGUUCUGCUUGGCCAGAUGAGCCACUGUUCUGCUCCAAUGCCUUGCACCAAGGGAAGUCACAUCCCAUGAGGAGCUGACUCUUUUUGGAGCCAUCACCUCAUUUCCUAUGCUGUGUGAUGCCUUCAGCCUCAGCCGUGGGGAAUGUGAUGCGCACCAGUGUUGACAGACUGGCCGGAAGACUGAGGUGUGAGACAAACCCAUGAGCUUCACACAGCCCAGCCGGAUCUAGACCAGCACGUGUGCAGCUACAUUUUCCUCUACCCUGAAGGACAAAAGAAUUGAUCCAUGACAUCUCAUCUUCAUCCCACCUCCAAAUGUCAUCCAGCCAUGCUGCAACAGCUUUACUGCACAGAAGCUCCACAUCACAGUUGUGAUGAUGUGCCAUUACACUUCGGUGGCAUGUCACCAGAUCAGGAACUCAUGAGGUAUCCAACUCCUUCUCAGCUUUGAUUUGCAUCAACCAAAACCUCUCAAAUUGAACAAAACCUGAAGCCAAACUUAAUUGCCUAAGUCCCUGGAGUCGUAUGAGUAACACCACAAUGCAUUUAGCUCUUUCCAGAAGAACUGAUGUUAUUCUAAGAAUCCACAGAUAAGGUCAAAACCUGCACAGUUUGGAACUUGGCUGAACCACCAUGUUACGUCUUGAGCCAGAACUGAAUCUGGGGUGUUGGGUCAAGGCCUCCUGCUCAGCCCUGCAUUUCCACAGGAUGCUCCUCCAGCUCUACAAGUCUGAAGGAUGAGAGUUUUGUUUAUUCCUUCUGAAAGGCCAGAACUGUCACCAGCAGUUUUGACAAAGAAUUUUAACUAAAAACAGUGAAAUUAAGAGAAAUAACCCACUACUCUCCUCCCAUUGUGUUCAGGCUUUAUCACCAGCUCAGCUGAUCCUACAUUCAUACGUUCUGCCCUAAAUAUAUCCAAACACACACACACACACUGCAAAACUUUACACAGCUUUUGGUUAUUUCAGGUUUUUUGUCUGUCUGAUAACUCAACCCUUUUAAAUCUAUCUUUGUAAACUGAGAGCAGAUUUUUGUGAGUUCUGGACAUACUGCAAUAAAAUUUUUCUCAUC